UCUAAGGCCGUCUGGCGCUCAGGAUGGCACGGAGGGCCGGACCUCCUACCCCCCCCCCCCCCCGGCCGGGCCCCCGGACUCUGGCGGGCAGGGAGGCCCCGGAUCGCGCCCAGGCCCUGGCGGGAGCGCGGGCAGAUGGCAGAGGAGUGCCCCGGGGCACCGUGAGAUGCAAGUGCGAUAUCGGGGCCAAGGUCGUGGGGCGUUGGCGGUUUUCUCCGUCACUGCCGUCACUGCCGGCUCUGACAGAUUACCCGCUCCUUAAUGUCUGUAACAGAGGCGGCGAUAAUUGUCCCUACGCAAUUAUCCUAGGGGGAGGAGGCUUAGAUUGACCCCAGAUGUCUCCUUUGUUUAGUUUGCAAGUCUUGUUGAAGAGACAGAGGGAUGUUGGGAACAGAAGGACUCCAGGACAGUGGUUUCCAAAUCUGGUCCUCAGAACACCCAUGGACCAUGAUGAUGACAUCACCAGUUGGUGACAAAAAAGGAGAAAAACGCAAUUUCCAGAAUGAGCUCUUCCCGAAGCAAAAUUAUUCCAUUUAAAGGACCAUCUUUUAAAGGGAAAUCAAGUUCUUCCUCCUUUUUUGGUAUUAAAUUAUACUUUCUUUUAGGUCA